UACGUAGGCAGCGAGCGUUGUUCGGAGUUACUGGGCGUAAAGGGUGUGUAGGCGGUUCUUUAAGUUUGGUGUGAAAUCUCCCGGCUCAACCGGGAGGGUGCGCCGAAUACUGAGGGACUAGAGUGCGGGAGAGGAAAGUGGAAUUCCUGGUGUAGCGGUGAAAUGCGUAGAUAUCAGGAGGAACACCGGUGGUGUAGACGGCUUUCUGGACCGUAACUGACGCUGAGGCACGAAAGCGUGGGUAGCAAACAGG
rnacentral:rRNA from 1 species